rnacentral:rRNA from 1 species
AUGAACGCUGGCGGCGUGCCUAAUACAUGCAAGUCGAGCGAACAGACGAGGAGCUUGCUCCUCUGACGUUAGCGGCGGACGGGUGAGUAACACGUGGAUAACCUACCUAUAAGACUGGGAUAACUUCGGGAAACCGGAGCUAAUACCGGAUAAUAUAUUUAACCGCAUGGUUCAAUAGUGAAAGACGGUUUUGCUGUCACUUAUAGAUGGAUCCGCGCCGCAUUAGCUAGUUGGUAAGGUAACGGCUUACCAAGGCAACGAUGCGUAGCCGACCUGAGAGGGUGAUCGGCCACACUGGAACUGAGACACGGUCCAGACUCCUACGGGAGGCAGCAGUAGGGAAUCUUCCGCAAUGGGCGAAAGCCUGACGGAGCAACGCCGCGUGAGUGAUGAAGGUCUUCGGAUCGUAAAACUCUGUUAUUAGGGAAGAACAAAUGUGUAAGUAACUAUGCACGUCUUGACGGUACCGAAUCAGAAAGCCACGGCUAACUACGUG